CAAGCAUAUUAGAAUGGACUGGAGUGGAGAGUGUGUGUGUCUCCUCACAGUCCCUGUUGUUCCAGAAGGUGUAGUUCUGAUUCUAUGAUUCUAUUCUUGUGAUGUGUGUCUCCUCACAGUCCCUGUUGUUCCAGAAGGUGUAGUUCUGAUUCUAUGAUUCUAUGAUUCUAUUCUUGUGAUGUGUGUCUCCUCACAGUCCCUGUUGUUCCAGAAGGUGUAGUUCUGAUUCUAUGAUUCUAUGAUUCUAUUCUUGUGAUGUGUGUCUCCUCACAGUCCCUGUUGUUCCAGAAGGUGUAGUUCUGAUUCUAUUAUUGUGAUGUGUGUCUCCUCACAGUCCCUGUUGUUCCAGAAGGUGUAGUUCUGAUUCUAUUCUUGUGAUGUGUGUCUCCUCACAGCCCCUGUUGUUCCAGAAGGUGUAGUUCUGAUUCUAUGAUUCUAUGAUUCUAUUCUUGUGAUGUGUGUCUCUUCACAGUCCCUGUUGUUCCAGAAGGUGUAGUUCUGAUUCUAUGAUUCUAUGAUUCUAUUCUUGUGAUGUGUGUCUCCUCACAGCCCCUGUUGUUCCAGAAGGUGUAGUUCUGAUUCUAUGAUUCUAUGAUUCCAUUCUUGUGAUGUGUGUCUCCUCACAGUCCCUGUUGUUCCAGAAGGUGUAGUUCUGAUUCUAUGAUUCUAUUCUUGCGGCCUGUGUCACUUCCAGCGGUUGAUUCGUCUGAGCUGUAUGUAGGCCAAGACCAUACACACCGUAAUGAUCCCAGACAGAGCUACAUGGUUCUGCCAGAAACCCCAGGUGCUGUAGUCUAUUCCCUGGGUCUCCAGGUACACCUCCC